CCAAACACCAUAUUUUACUCUGGAAAAGGAGAAUCAUUUGGAAUUUUAUUAAAAUUCAAAUCUGGACUGUUUUACUUGGAAGUUGAAGAAAUACAGCUACACAUGGGUUUAUAUAAUGGAUGAGAUGCGAAAACCACUUUAAAAGACAUGUCAUUGUUUUGUUGCCAAGUUUCUAUAACCAAUGUAUAGAAAAGAUGAAACGAGCCAUUAUUUUGCCAUUAGUCGCAGCAUUUGUGAGUUAGCAAUUUUUACCCACAUUAUUCUUCAUUAUCUUUAUUCCGUUGUUUUUAAACUGGUUUUUGGAAUACAUUUUGAUAUGGCUCUUUAAAAUUUCUUCAAGGUAGUCUGACUUGGAGAAGAUUGUGUCUUUUCAAUUCACAUACUUUAAAUACACAUAUUGAGAACUGAACACUUAAUAAAAACCCUCACUUUGCUAAGGCUGGUGGAGCAAGUCAACAGGUUCCCCGGACUUUGCAGGUGAAGCUGCCACCAGUGUACCCAGUCCACAGCCUCAGACAGAGCCCGGACCCUGCCUGCGUCUCAUACAGAGCCAGGCUGCCCACGUGAGCCUCCCCACAGGGUGGCCUUGCACAGGGCGUCAGUGGUCUCCCCAGCAAGGUGCAGCCUUCCCUGGAGUUGUUCUCUGGUGGGAAUGGCAUGAACCACUGCAGGGUGGCUGGCCCGCUGACCGGGCCCCUGACCUUCAGGCUGAUCUGCAGCACGACGGCGAUCAGCUGAUGAGAUCACUGUGUGAGGUGAACAGCUAGGAAUUCCUGGCAAACAAACAGCUUACUUAAAAGUUCGAGGAGGAGCAGGAGCAAUCCGGUUUGUGUAUCACAGUAAUGAUUUGCCAGGUUCCUAGUGGAGGGCAUCUGCAAGGAGAGGAAUAGCCAUGGAUAUAGCUGAACACAGAGUGAUUACUAGGGCCUGGCUUCGCCUUGGGCUCUUCUGCAUAAGCAUCCUUGGAUACACGCUUGAAGGAACUCGGUAUGAAUGGACAGGGCAGGAGAGGUGGAAAGUGCCAGGGAAGGAAGGAAACAAUGCAGAGAAGGCUGUGGAAGGGAGAGAGCUGAGUGCUUUGACAUUGUAUGACCUUGCCCACGCAGGAGGAAGCUGACGUUAUGGGGAAAGGGGGUCCUGAAAACAGGAAGCUAGAGGAUCCUGGCUGAAGGCAUUGUCUCGUCACCGCUCCUGCUUCCUGUUGAGCCACCCCGAGAGGCCAUCGUGACUGAAUGGAGCUUCCAUUUCCUCGGGGACUCAUUUGAGGGGCUGUUGGAGUAGAGAACUCGGCGUGGCCUGGUGGCUCCUCUGCUGGUGUGGCCCAGGCCUGGUGGUCCGGGAUGGCCCAAGUCACCUCUCUGGCAGUGCAGCUGGGUUCCCCUGUUUCAGCACCCAGGGGCCCCCGCACAGUGGACCAGGCAGAGUUGGCGUCUUAUUUCUGCUGAGGUUAAACAGACAAGAAUGGAAGAGAGGCUUCCAUGGAAGAGGAGAAAAAUUGCACAUAAAUAAGGCUUCUGCAGAUGUGUCUGAUACUUUUUUUAUAAAUUCUUAAUCUUUCAUUUAAAUUAGAUUUAAUUUGUAGCCCAGUGAUGCCUUUUUAAAAAAGUGUUUAACAUUUUAUUCUAUUUUAAUUAAAAAGUUUUAUAUGAGACAUUAAAAUGUUUUGCCUUUAUAUAAUUACAUUCUAAAGAAUUUGCUGAAAAAUGCUUGCUUUUAGAAUGAAAGUACAGAAAAAGGAAUGUUGUUAACAGUUCAUUAAUGAAGGUUCAUAGCAUUUUUCUUUCUAGUAUAAUGGAGUCUACACAUGUUGUAACAACAAUCCAGUAAGCAAACUUGUGGGUUUUUCCCUUAAGUGCUGAUUAUUUGUCCACUAGUCGAGCAAUUAAAUUAAUCAGUCUACAGACAGGCGAGUUGCACGCUGUGUUUAGUGAUUCAGAUGGCGUCUGACUGUUAGACGCCUGUGCACAGGUUGUGAGAG
ensembl:lncRNA